rnacentral:rRNA from 1 species
UUUGGUGAUGAUGGCAGAGAGGUCACACCCGUUCCCAUACCGAACACGGAAGUUAAGCUCUCUAGCGCCGAUGGUAGUUGGGACC